UAGCUUUUUAACCCCUUAAAAACACAUGACAUGUGUGACAUGUCAUGAUUCCCUUUUAUUCCAGAAGUUUGGUCCUUAACCCCUUAAGGACCAAACUUCUGGAAUAAAAAGGAAUCAUGACAUGUCACACGUCAUGUGUCGUUAAGGGGUUAAAUGUGACUG